rnacentral:rRNA from 1 species
AACGAACGCUGGCGGCGUGGAUAAGACAUGCAAGUCGAACGCUGGUUGCGUGGUAGCAAUAUUGCGUAAUCGGAGUGGCGUAAGGGUGCGUAACACGUGGGCAAUCUGCCGUGAAGUUGGGGAUAACCCCGAGAAAUCGGGGCUAAUACCGAAUGUGAUGGUUUGGGGGCAUCCCUAAACUUUCGAAGCUGGGGACCGCAAGGCCUGGCGCUUCACGAUGAGCCCGCGGCCUAUCAGCUAGUUGGCGGGGUAACGGCCCACCAAGGCUCUGACGGGUAGCUGGUCUGAGAGGACGACCAGCCACACUGGAACUGAGACACGGUCCAGACACCUACGGGUGGCUG